GAUCCUGCCAGUAGUCAUAUGCUUGUCUCAAAGAUUAAGCCAUGCAUGUCUCAGUACAAGCCAAAUUAAGGUGAAACCGCGAAAGGCUCAUUAAAUCAGUUAUGGUUUCUUAGAUCGUACCCACAUUUACUUGGAUAACUGUGGUAAUUCUAGAGCUAAUACAUGCAAACAGAGCCCCGACCGGAGACGGAAGGGGUGCUUUUAUUAGAUCAAAACCAAUCGGCGGCAGUGGCGUUUCGGCGUUGCUGUUCGUCGCACUGUUUGGUGAUUCUGAAUAACUUUUGGCUGAUCGCACGGUCUCGCACCGGCGACGCAUCUUUCAAAUGUCUGCCUUAUCAACUGUCGAUGGUAGGUUCUGCGCCUACCAUGGUUGUAACGGGUAACGGGGAAUCAGGGUUCGAUUCCGGAGAGGGAGCCUGAGAAACGGCUACCACAUCCAAGGAAGGCAGCAGGCGCGCAAAUUACCCACUCCCAGCACGGGGAGGUAGUGACGAAAAAUAACGAUAUGGGACUCAUCCGAGGCCCCAUAAUCGGAAUGAGUACACUUUAAAUCCUUUAACGAGGAUCCAUUAGAGGGCAAGUCUGGUGCCAGCAGCCGCGGUAAUUCCAGCUCUAAUAGCGUAUAU
rnacentral:rRNA from 1 species